rnacentral:misc_RNA from 1 species
AUUGGCAGAAGCGUGAUUAUGCAUCAUGAUUUACAAUUCUCCAGCAGAUCUAUGGCAAAAUUAUUCUCUUGGAUGUUCCUAAUUAGUAGUAACAACAACUAUACAGUACCUUAACACUGCUUAAAGACCUGACAACCGGAUCUCAUUAAUUACCAAAUGUGUUACCACUUCCACCUACUUCAUCUUCACUACCACUUUCGAGUGGCCAAUUCGGCCAACUUGAUACGGUCUCCACACUAUUAGCUCUCGCAACAACUCCAUCUCCUUGACCGGUCUGGCCAAUCUGAGUAGGGGAGAGCAGAAACUCCAAACUGUCACCCCUAGUGGUAUCCUCCCUGUCAAGCUGAUGCCUCCUGGCAACACGUCUAAGUGUGCGCCUAAACCCAAACAAAUCCUCUUGCUCACCCAGAAACUCUUCCAAUCUCAUUGCUGCAACAAAAUCCUGACGUCUACGGCAAACCUCGUCUUCCUCCGUAGGUAACUGGAACCUACAAACUGG